rnacentral:rRNA from 1 species
UACAGAGGUGGCAAGCGUUGUUCGGAAUUACUGGGCGUAAAGGGUGCGUAGGCGGCGCGGUAAGUCGGGUGUGAAAUCUUGGAGCUUAACUCCGAAACUGCAUUCGAUACUGCCGUGCUUGAGGACUGGAGAGGAGACUGGAAUUUACGGUGUAGCGGUGAAAUGCGUAGAUAUCGUAAGGAAGACCAGUGGCGAAGGCGGGUCUCUGGACAGUUCCUGACGCUGAGGCACGAAGGCCAGGGGAGCAAACGGG